CAGAGCGCGGCGGGCAGCCGGCUCUGGCAUCCCGCUGGUGCGCGCUCUGCUCGAGUGGUGCUUUCAGCACCAAGCACCAAUACAUCACUGUUAAAAGCCCGUGUGCACGCAGGAUUAGUAAGAGCAGCUGUAACCUGAAAACCAAAAGCGAAAUUGAUUUAUAGCCAUGGUUACUCAAAAUGCUCAGACUUUAAUCUAUUCAUAGGGAUGCUCUGAAAGUCCCGCAGGAUUCGGAUGCAGUGAGAAGGAGAUAUCCUGCUGGGCGGGCAGUGUUUGUACACCUUGCUUGCACAGCAACAGUUCUCCCAUGCGGCUAAAAGCUGUGGGUGGCAGCACGGUGGUAAAAAGAUAACAAUAUUUAACAGCUUUCUUCAAUUAGCAUCAUCCCUGUGCUUUUGACUGUUAAACUCCUUGUUUUGCUUCACCUUCCAGGCCCGGAUAACCCUGUGGUUAACACCUUAUGAGCUAAAUGACAGAUGCCAGCACAAAGCAUUACUCCACUGAAAAUAUUUGUCGAAAAGUGAGCCGGCAGCUUUAGGGAGCUUUGGUGAAUGUGCAAAACGUUUUGCUAUUGUCCAGGCUCGAUAAUGGGAGAGGACAUUGAGGAGUUCUGCAGGAGACAGCAGUGUGAGAAGAGAUCCCCAUGGAGCACAAACAGAGGGCCUCAAAUUGCCACCACAGCAGCAGAGGUGCAGCAGGUGGGGAAGAUGAAGGUCACAAACAUAGCUUGGAAUGAACACAACUGAGCUACAGCCUCCCCACUAAAACCAUCAGACACAUUGGAGACUUGGAUGUUUUCCUCUCCACUGACACGCUCAACGCAAGGCUCACGGUGAUUUUGUCUUCAGGAUGAGCUUGGCAGCCGCAGCCUCAGCUGGAAGCAAAGUCAGAAGCUCCACACGUGGACUCAGCACUCCCACCCCUCUGCAUGGGCAUCCCUGGCCCCAGGACUGCGUGUUUCCAGCAGGCACAUACAUGUCCAACAGCAACGUCUCCUUCCUUGGUUCUAAGGCCAUGUUUUUGUUUAAGGUUGGAAAACAGCUCCGUGGAUUCCAUGCCCUCCCCCGGCCCACCCAGGGGUUGCAUCCUGCUGAAACAUCACAUCACAACACUUCUGCAGGGGGCUCCUCAGGUGUUGUUAUUGGGAUGGUCACAGCACUGAAUGCAUGGGAAUCUGACCCCAGAGCUCAACUCCGUGUAGGAAUGCAGGAAAUCAGUUCCCUUUGCUGAAGCACUGCAUUACUAAGACGAUGUGGGUAAUGGCAGCAGAAUCAUUAAGGAGAUCCUCGUCCUGACUCCCAGGGUGGGGUCUCCUUCUCGUGUCUGGGGUUAACCUGGCACAGCUUCUAACACGUUCCUCGUUGGGGCUGGAUGCUUGGGAUACACAGACCUGCGUGGGAGCUGACAUUUUGGAGAUGUUACCGUGGCUCAGAGCCCCACAUCCGGGCUGGCUCACAGUGAGCGUUCCGCAGGAGCACUAUUUGUGCCGUGGCCCUGCAGGAACUGCA
rnacentral:lncRNA from 1 species